UACGUAGGCAGCGAGCGUUGUUCGGAGUUACUGGGCGUAAAGGGUGUGUAGGCGGUUGUUUAAGUUUGGUGUGAAAUCUCCCGGCUCAACUGGGAGGGUGCGCCGAAUACUGAAUGACUUGGAGUGCGGGAGAGGUGAGUGGAAUUCCUGGUGUAGCGGUGAAAUGCGUAGAUAUUCGGAAGAACACCAGUGGCGAAGGCGACUUACUGGACGACUGUUGACGCUGAGGUGCGAAAGCGUGGGGAGCAAACAGG
rnacentral:rRNA from 1 species